AGUGGGCAAAUACUGCCACUUCUGUCUGCGCCUUAAUGAAUCAUCUCUAGUGGUGCCAUGGUAUAUGACAAGGCAUAAAUCAUUUCAUGCAAACUUGCCUCAUUAUGGAGGCAGUUGAACAGAGACAAAGGGAAAGUAGCUGUAACUUGACAUAACCAGGAUCCAUUCCUUCCUAGCAGAACAGUUUUCCAGUUCUGCAGUUGAACAUACAGAUCACAGAUCCUACUCUUCAGUCAUCUCCAGCUUCACCAAUUACUUCCCUAUUUACAGAAGACAGUGCAUUUCAUAUUGAAGGACUGCCACCAACAAUGACAAGAAUUUUACCAACUCCAAUAUCCUCCUAAAAGAUGACACAAAAGAAUAAGAGAACACACACAUACGCACGAGCAAGAGAGACGUCCAGGCUUCUUUCACAAUCCUAUGAAAAUAUCAAGAUCCUGCAUCAUCUAAAACAUGGAAAGCAGUGGAAUCCUGUCUGGAAGAAACGUGACACAGUCAGACAAUACAUGGAAAGUUUCCUGUUCUUCUAA
rnacentral:lncRNA from 1 species